AUUGAACGCUGGCGGCAUGCCUUACACAUGCAAGUCGAACGGUAACAAGUCUUCGGAUGCUGACGAGUGGCGAACGGGUGAGUAAUACAUCGGAACGUGCCUAGUAGUGGGGGAUAACUACUCGAAAGAGUGGCUAAUACCGCAUGAGAUCUACGGAUGAAAGCAGGGGAUCGCAAGACCUUGUGCUACUAGAGCGGCCGAUGGCGGAUUAGGUAGUUGGUGGGAUAAAAGCUUACCAAGCCGACGAUCUGUAGCUGGUCUGAGAGGACGAUCAGCCAGACUGGGACUGGGGCACGGCCCAGACUCCUGCGGGAGGCAGCAGUGGGGAAUUUUGGGCAAUGGGCGCAAGCCUGAUCCAGCAAUGCCGCGUGCAGGAUGAAGGCCUUCGGGUUGUAAACUGCUUUUGUACGGAACGAAAAGCCCUGGGUUAAUACCCUGGGGUCAUGGCGGUACCGUAAGAAUAAGCACCGGCUAACUACGUGCCAGCCGCCGCGGUAAGAC
rnacentral:rRNA from 1 species